AAGAGCAUUUGGUGGAUGCCUUGGCACUAGAAGGCGAUGAAGGACGUAAUACGCUGCGAUAAGCUUCGGGGAGUUGUGAAUAAGCUUUGAUCCGAAGAUUUCCGAAUGGGGAAACCCACCUAAUUUAUUAGGUAUUGUAUAGUGAAU
rnacentral:rRNA from 1 species